UACGUAGGGGGCAAGCGUUGUCCGGAUUUAUUGGGCGUAAAGAGCGUGUAGGCGGCCUUACAGGUCAGCUGUGAAAACUCGAGGCUCAACCUCGAGACGUCGGUUGAAACCGUAAGGCUAGAGUCCGGAAGAGGAGAGUGGAAUUCCCGGUGUAGCGGUGAAAUGUGCAGAUAUCGGGAAGAACACCCGUGGCGAAGGCGGCUCUCUGGGACGGUACUGACGCUGAGACGCGAAAGCGUGGGGAGCGAACAGG
rnacentral:rRNA from 1 species